rnacentral:lncRNA from 1 species
CUAAUUCCUAGAGGAAGGAAUUGGGCCAAAUCCACUCGGGCUAGGGCGGGCCGUAAUGGCUCCCCCGAGGGACAAAUCCUGCCUGGAACCCGUGAGGGUGAAGGGAUGUUAAGAGCUGCUCACGACGCCAGUGGAAAGCCCGAGGUGGCGAGAGGGCCAGGCGAGGGAUAGCCCUGGGCCGUGAGCGGUAACAGNNNNN